UUUGGAGGAGGAACUUAAAGGUUUCUUCUUUUUUGAAUUAUGAUAAUUAAGUAGCAAAGGGUGCAACUUAAACUAUAAAUAUUUUCCACUUAACAUUUACAUUUUAAACAGAUAUGCCUAUAUUUGUGAGAGGAUUUGUUAGUUACAGUUUUGAGCAUUAUAUAGUUAGCUAACCUUUCAGCAGUCCUGUUUCUAAAGAGGACUUCUUUACCGGCACACAACAUGAAUGUCUAGUUCUAUUCCCAGCCACAUUUUUAUCUUGUUUUCCAACAUGUAGCUAUGAGCGUAUAGCUAGUUCAGCUACUGCAACUUCCAUUUUGCAAAGACAGAGAUGUCUUGGUAAUGCAUGCAUAAUUUAGAAGUAACAGCUUCUAUACUGGAAUAAGUGUUAGGGGCUCUGUUCAAAUCAUGGUUUGUUUCCUGCUCCAGCUGGGCCCCACUUUCUCCAGGGAAAGGGUAGCUCAGUUGUUUGUGUUGCAACAGCUCAAUGCAGUUUGUAACCUAGCACCUUAAAGUCACCUGGAACUGGUGCUGCUUUACUUUAUUUCUGCUCUUGGAAAGUACAGUGGUGCAGCAGGUACUGCUGCCUCAGUAGUCGAGGCAGGAAACUUGGAAAGGAACAGGGUGUGCAGUGGGAGCAGGAACUGUUAUGGCCAUCUCCAGGAAUCUUCCCUAGUUUAUCACCCAGGGUCCUCUUUCUGUUUUGUGGGGGGAGGAGGAGGAAAAGGUGGAAAACAGUUCUGUAAUUUGUAGAAAAAGAGCAAGAAAUCUUCCUGUUUAAAAAAACAAAAAGUUUUUCUUCUGCAUUAUAGUGUUUCGGAGAGAAAACAUUAAAGCUUUGGGGAUUUUUUUUCUUUUUAAGACUUACCCAAUUUCAAUUAUACUUACUUCCUUGCCUUCUUCAAAAACAGAUACUGUAAAAGAUCAGUAUUUUGAGAUUAAGAUCAAGAAUAAAAAUGGAGAGUGUUUUAAGAGGAAAAGAUGACAACAAAUCAAAAAAAUUUAUGUAUUACCUUUUAAAAAUAUUUAACUUCAGUGAACCAUUAACAUCAAUAAGAUAUUUAGGGUUUUCUAUGUUCAGUUCUGUAGGCAAUAUAGACUGUGAGAGAAACAGGUGCAUCUGAAGUAGAUCAUCUGGUUUAAGAAUGUAAGCAACUAUUCCUGCCAAGCAAUUGGUUAAACAAAACUAUUAAAAUGCAAGUGUUUUCAUAGUAGCUCUCUAAUUUAAGUGGAAGAAAUAUCACAUGCUUGUAGCAAGUUGCAUGUUUCUUCAGGCCUGAUGAAAAAUACAGGUCUGGGGUUUUUUUUGCCCUAGACAAUUCAGUAAUCCCUGUAAUUCUUGUCACAGGUAUACUGAACAAUUGGGGGCAAAUUUCUGCACCUCUUGAAUUUGUAAAGUUAUAUAAAAUCUGAGCAACAGUUACUAAGAGUUCUCAAUAAUUUAAAAAAUUCACAUAGCAGACAGAACAUUCAAUCUUAGAGAAGUGGUGUAUUUUAAGAGAAAGUUCAUAUCGCUGUAGGUAAGUAUGUGCCAUUAACACUGUAAAUUAGAAGCAUGGUAUCUGAGCAAUAUGUAAGCUGUGCACAUACCUCUUUUUGUGCAUAACACAUUGGUGUUUUAAUAUUAUGGAGUAUCUUUGUUCCAUUCCUCUUUGGAACACAAUUAGCUUCCUCUCCCCUGUCUCAGAGAGACAUAUCUUACCUUGCUCUUGGGGCUUGUGAUCCAAGAGUGUCUGGGAGAGGGCUUGUUGGCUGUGAGAGCUGAUGUAUAGCUUACCUUAGGGCUUAACAAUGAUAGCAGGACUGGAUACCACCCACACACACUUUGCUGGUUUCGGUUCUCAGCAUCAUGACAUUCUUUUGAGACCAGGCCCAGAAAUUUGUUGUCCUGAUCAUCAACAUCCAGCUUAAAUACUCUCUUCUUGGAUUCCACCAUUUUAAUGUUGUCAUAUUGAGUUGGUUGGUUAUGUUUUUGAAGGAGAAGACUCUUCUGCCUUAUCUGCGAUACGGCUAUGGGAAUUUCAGGGUUUUCCAAGAGAAAAUGUCUUAUUCCUCACAUGCUCACCAAGAAGAGGUGAUGAAGCCUGUGUAGUGCCUUGAAGAUUAACUUCAUUAUCCUAAUGUGGAAUGGGUAAUUGUGUAUGUUAUGGAAUACCAUCUUACAGGAUACAAAUACUGUACUUGCUAUCAAACGAGGACUGCAAUGAGUACAUCAGAGAGGGAUAGUCAGUGACUUGAAUUUCAUUUUCUGCUGCACUGUGAAUACAGCAGUCGUUUAGAGACCUAGCUUUGGGACUCCAGAUACUUCAAAAGGACAGUGGUUCAGUUGAAGACACUCUUAAAUUAAGGGGCAAAGUAUUUCAGUUUGUAGAUGGAUGAAGUGCCCUCUGCUUUGGUUUAAUUAAAGACCAUGGUUGGAGACUUAUCUGUUUGCUAAGUUCUACCAGUUGUUUUCAUGACUGCUUCCGGAAUUGAUUUAUUAUCUAGCUCAUCAAUGAAGAUGAUCAUGAUUCUUUAAGCAACGUCUGUCUUGGCACAGCCUUCUGCUUCUAAACAGCAGGUGAGGGUGUUUAGAGUCUGACCUGUUUCUGCUAUUGCUUUUUCUCUCCUCCGCUUUUAAAGACAGUGUCUUUCAUUGCAACUUGCUGUGGACUAACUUCCUACUGGAUCAUUUAAUCCUGGAGACAUCAGUUGUAUAUGUUCCUGCCCUCCAACCUCGUUUAUCUGACUAUCCUUCACACAACAAAGGGUAAUGAAUAGAAUCUUAUACCUCUUAGGGGCACAACGUGGGGCCAGAGGCAAGUGCUAUGUGGAGUAAAUUUCCUAGCGAUGUUUUAUUUAGCAGAAUACAUAUAUCCAAGAUUAAUCUCACCUUAGUAAUAAAGAAAGGAGGACCUUGGAGGAUUGGAAAGAGAAUCUUGUCUGAGGGAUCUGGGGAAAAAAGCUUUGGAAUCUCUAGGAAAAAGAACUAUUUUCUUCAAUUCCUCCCCCCCCCCCCCCCAAGUCUAUUGAAAAAAAUAUCCUAUUGUUAAAAAAUUCUGCAUGUGUCAAAAUAAGCAGUGAAGUUGAUUUAAAAGUAAUAAAUUACAGCAUUGCAUCCUUCAAGAUGCUUUUUGUAAGUAACAAAUAUUUUAGAUGAAGUUACUUUGUUACAGAAUUUCAUAGCAUUGAGAAAUUACAAUUCCUAUAUGUAAUAGACUACAUUUACUGGCAGACCCUUAAAGUGCUCUGUUAACUAUUUGUAAUGAGAUAAUCUCUCUAUAUAGAGAUGUCAUGUUUGUUUAACAAGAUUUUCUGUAUAAGUAUGCCCUUCCCAUUUAUUUAUGACAGGGUGAUACUAUUACAAGGAUUGAUUCGUUGAUUUUUAGUUUCAAUUUUUUUGUUCUUACUGAGGUUGACCAAUUAGCAAACAAAAACCCCAACUUUUAAGUACCUCAGUUUGCAACACAGAUCCAUCCCUAAGAUUAGAACAAGUUUAAGUUAUAAAAAAAUAAAUAUUUUACCUUUUUUUUUUUUUUUAAUAUAAAAUAACUGAUAUACCUGUCAGUACUUUCUAUGUGCUAGCUAGGUUAUGGUCAAUACAGUUCUUAUUCUUAAUGAAGCACAUACAGUUCACCUUUGAUAAGCAAGCUACUAUUGUAGAUAUUUCACUUUAUCUGAAGAUGUCUGGGAGCAGGGGUCUUAUUUUCAGGGGAGAGGGAGAUAGGGAGACAAAAACAUGCAUAUAUGCAUUUAUCUUGAGUCUGGUUUGGAAGCUAUUGUAAACCAAGACAUAAGUAAGGAGGAAAAUGCAUUCUUGUUUUAUCAGGUGAUUCUGGUGUCUCAACAGUUGUCUGGGAGAUACCAUUCAUAGUGUCCUAAGGGGAACAUACUGGUUAAAACAUUUUAUUUUUUUUUAGCUCUUUUCUCCUUUAAGGAAUACUUGGGGAAGUAAAUAAAGUUCGUUCCUUUAGAAGUAAAAAGGUUGGAUUUUUUACCAGCGCAGCCUGAAUUUGCAGAUGCUGUUUGAAACAACGAAAUAAAGUAUAGAUAGUGGUGGAAAUACUAUUGUGCAGCUGAACUAAAGGGAUUUUGCUGGAUAACUACUUGCCUGUUAUUGUCAUUGGCAAGUCAGAGAUAAUUUCCAAAGCUGUAGUCUGGCUGAGGAGGAGUAAUUGCUUUUCUGUGUAUUUUUCAAGCCAAAACACACACUUUGUUUUUACCAGUGUUUUUACUCAGAUUCAAAAUUAUCACAGCAUUGUUGCUGAAAAAAAAGUUAUUUUUAAAAGAAAAAGUAUUAUGAAUAGUGACACCUGAGUGGCACACAGAAAACUCUUGUCAGCUGAACUCCUGACAGAAUCUGGCAGAAAUUCAAAGUCUGGUUUGUCUCUAGUAAUUCCAUUAACAUUUCAAAGGUUGACGAUGUUCUGGGAAUUACACGGGAGGAAUUAUUUUUUAAGUUAAAAAUUAGUACUCUAAAGCCUUGCCUGUGCUAGGAAUAUUGCAGCUAUCUUGCAAUAGGUAAAUGGACUAUAUGUGAGACCCUAAGUUCUCUAUCAGACGUUUUGCUAUUUUAUCUGUACUGGCGUAAUUAAAGUAUCAGCCAUCUUUUCCCAUAGUGUGAACAGAGCUGUAUCAGUAUAAAACUGUAUAUAUUGGUAGCUUAUUUCCGCAUAGAAGGAAACAACCUUGGAGGGCUGGCCCAAUUCCAGAAGUUGUUUUUAAUUAUAUUGCGGUUGCUAUGCCUGUAUAAACUAUUUGUAUUGGAGACCUUAUACCAGAAGAAGGUGACUUCAUUCUAGUUUAUUUGCUCUUAUCCAUAGAGCCCCAUAAAAAGUUACACCACUUCAGUUUCAUAGGUUUGAUUUGCCUUUGUGGGCAAACUUGCCCUUUACACAGACUUAUCUCCAUCUAUGCUAGAGAAUAUAAAUGAUGACUGGUGUGACAAUAAAAAUGCAUCUUCCUUUCUGAGAUAAGCCUAAUAUUUUCAGUUAAUACUAGAACAACUACAGUUUACUGUGAACGGUUAGAAUAUUUCCAUCUGGCUGUGUGCACCAGAGCCUAUAGAGCAGCUGUCCCCACCCCAAAUCCUAGCUUAACUCUCUGUUGUUCAGUACGGAACACAAUGUUUUAUGUACUCUGAUCAAACUGUUUUAUAGAUCAGUGUCUUGCCUCGCUUUUCUGCUGUGUAAAUGAUCUGUUACCUAAGAAAGAAUUAAGAAAGUUGAAGUCAGAAUAUCAGAACUUGGAUCACUUGCAAAUAAGGAUGAUCUGCAUGUGCUUGUUCUAUAAAAAUAAUGUUGAGCAGAUUCAGAUAAUUUCUGUUUUAAAGCUACAGGCGAGGGAGAGCUCCUGAUCCCAUGUUAAAAGGUGGGGAGGGGAUUGUGAUGGGCAAAAGACUGAAAAAACGGUACAACCCUUCUGCUCUAAGCCGGGGAGCAGUAAAAAAAGGACCUAGUCAGAGACUUAACUAGCAGGAACAGAAACAGCCAAAAGCCCAGGACCUUUGAACAUUCAGAGAACAUUCACUACCUUUAAUUAGCUGUUCUCUGUCCUAUGCUCAUUGACUGUUUGUUCCACCCUCUUUCUGUCUAUUCUACCUCUUUACUUCUGCUUCAAUUCUGCUUAGUUCAUGUGCUUCCCCCCAAUCUGCCCUCCUUGCUCUGUAUCUCCUUCCAUUUUCUUUGCAAGCAAAAGCCACCCCAAAAUAGAACUACUGUUACAUUUACUACAAUCACGCUGUUUGUGCUGUGUGUGAACUUUUCCCCCACGAUGUCUUAUCUGUUUAGAGUGUUGUUUUUUAUAUGAUUGGGCACCUUCUACUGUUCUGUGUUUAUGCACUGUCCAGCAUAAUGGCACUUCAAUCUUCAUUAGUCCUUAGAAGACCUUAAAUAUGAUUACGAAUAAUAUUCCUUUAUCCAGCUUUUUUUAUAAGAAAUCACUUCUAGGCAAAUGACUACCCUUAAUGAGAUGAGGUAUAUGAGACUUAAGACGGCAAGAGGAACUUUGCUCUUGCAGUUUUUCCAUAGAUGAACUAGUGAUUUAAAAGUAUAAUGUUGUAACCGUGGUUAUAUUACAGUCCAGCAUAAUAUGAUGAACAUUUCAGAACUAAUUUUAUAUUGACUCUUGUUUGCAUUGCACUUGCAGUUGUUUGCAAAUUGUUGGUUUGUUUUCAAUGUUUUACAGCUUUUAAAUUUGCUUUCUAGAAACCAUUUUGGUAGGUGCGGGUCGCUUGUCAGAAAUCCGUUCCAAAGCUUGAGUACAAAGCGAGCAGGUUACUAAUGACGGAUGUGAAUGGAUAUCUUAAGGAUAACAAUGGAUAUAGCAUGUUCAAAAGCAGUGGCGUUCUGACCCUAAUCCUGCUACUGGAUUUGUUCAAAUGGACCUCGAUAGCCAUGGGGCCUGGCUGAGUUGAUGGGACUCUGGAUGACUGCAAGUUUCUACCCUGAAGAUCUGAUUGUAGGCCUGACCUAAAUUUCUAUUUUAUUCCCCUGUCUAUUUGCUUCUAAUUCAUGAAAAUUAUCCUACAUAACGGUAUUGUCUUUGAGUCUCACGCACAUCUACUUUAGUAGCAUUCAGAUACCGCGUGCUUGGGAUGUUGUCAGACAUCAUUAAAAUAUUUCUGUUGUGUCAUGUGCCAAAACCUCAUGAUUGCCGUGAUUAUUGUGCUGUAUUUUUACAUUCAAUGGCUUCCUACCUAAAAUGGAGGGGAUCAUCACCUGUGUUUUCAGUCGUUGUGGUAUUUCUCUUAACUCAGAUUUUGAAGUUAGAGUAACUGUUGGAACUCUAUUCAGGUCAUUUUUAAAAUGUUGGUAGAUUUGGUUUUUAUUUGUUGGACACAAAGUACAUCUAUUUCAUUUUAUUUUGCAAUCUGCUAUUUUCUUAGUAGCCUGCUAUUACUGAAAUCUUUCAAUAUGAUGAUACUCUGUGAUGUAGACCAAUAAAAUAAGUAGGAAAAGGCAUUAACUUUUA